UUACUACUCCCUUCGUCCCAAAAUUCUUGUCUUAGAUUUGUCUAGAUACAGAUGUAUUUAGACAAAUUUAAGACAAUUUUGGGACGGAGGGAGUAGUUA
rnacentral:pre_miRNA from 1 species